UUGAAAUGACUCUCGGCAACGGAUAUCUCGGCUCUUGCAUCGAUGAAGAACGUAGCGAAAUGCGAUACUUGGUGUGAAUUGCAGAAUCCCGUGAACCAUCGAGUCUUUGAACGCAAGUUGCGCCCGAAGCCAUUAGGUUGAGGGCACGCCUGCCUGGGUGUCACAC
rnacentral:rRNA from 1 species